rnacentral:lncRNA from 1 species
UCCAUCUACUUUCUACCAAAUUAUUUUACUUGUGUUGUUUAUUUAUUUAAAAUUUUUUAUCAAAAUAUAAUUAUUUUAAAAAAAUUAUCAAAAAUAAUAUUUUUUAAAAAAAUAUUUAUCAAAAUAUUAUUCAAAAAAAAAUCAUCCUAUCAAUGUCAACUCAUCACUUUUCACAUCAUGUGAAAAGGUAAGUCAGAAAAAGAGAGCCGCCUUACCGAAGGGCGACUC